CCUACGGGGGGCAGCAGUGGGGAAUAUUGCACAAUGGGCGCAAGCCUGAUGCAGCCAUGCCGCGUGUGUGAAGAAGGCCUUCGGGUUGUAAAGCACUUUCAGCGGGGAGGAAGGCGGUGAGGUUAAUAACCUCAUCGAUUGACGUUACCCGCAGAAGAAGCACCGGCUAACUCCGUGCCAGCAGCCGCGGUAAUACGGAGGGUGCAAGCGUUAAUCGGAAUUACUGGGCGUAAAGCGCACGCAGGCGGUCUGUCAAGUCGGAUGUGAAAUCCCCGGGCUCAACCUGGGAACUGCAUUCGAAACUGGCAGGCUAGAGUCUUGUAGAGGGGGGUAGAAUUCCAGGUGUAGCGGUGAAAUGCGUAGAGAUCUGGAGGAAUACCGGUGGCGGAGGCGGCCCCCUGGACAAAGACUGACGCUCAGGUGCGAAAGCGUGGGGAGCAAACAGGAUUAGAUACCCUAGUAGUC
rnacentral:rRNA from 1 species